GUCGUGUCCUCACUGUUGUGUGUCGUGCUCCUUCCCUUUUCUCCAUCUACCGCCAUCAAGGACCAGGGGCCAUGCCGGGCUAUCCUGAGGCCAGGUGGAAAUCGAGGCCAGGAGGAUGGGCCCACAGCGUGGAAGGGCUGACCGAGCUCUUCUGGAAGAUGUCCUGCCUCGAAAAUACAUCUUGAGAAGAAUAAGGAAGAAAAGGCCCAUCGUUUUUGGCCUAGGGAACUCAAGGUGCGAGCGCUAAAGAGACCUGAGAUGACACAUAGCUGUUACCAGGCUGUUUCAUGGAACUUCGGAAGAGAUGGAACAUCUGAGUUUAAUAAACCAUGGAUACUGGAGGCAGCUAGAGAAAAGCACACCUGCUAUCCGAGCUCUUGGAGGUGGAGGCAAGAAGAUUGUGAUUCAAGGCCUACCUGGCUGGCCUACAAGAGGCCCAGUCUCCAGAAACAAUAAA